GAUGAACGCUGGCGGCGUGCCCAAUACAUGCAAGUCGAGCGAACAGACGAGGCGCUUGCUCCUCUGACGUUAGCGGCGGACGGGUGAGUAACAUGUGGAUAACCUCCCUAUCAGACUGGGAUAACCUCGGGAAUCCGGAUCUAAUCCCGGAUAAUCUCUUGCACCGCGUGGUUCAAUAGUGAAAUUCGGUUUUGCUGUCACUUCUCGAUGGAUCUGCGCCGCAUUAGCUAGUUGUUAAGGUAACGGCUUACCAAGGCAACCAUGCGUAGCCGACCUGAGAGGGUGAUCGGCCACACUGGAACUGAGACACGGUCCAGGCGCCUACGGGAGGCAGCAGUAGGGAAUCUUCCGCAAUGGGCGAAAGCCUGACGGAGCAACGCCGCGUGAGUGAUGAAGGUCUUCGGAGCGUAAAACUCUGUUAUGAGGGAAGAACAAAUGUGUAAGUAACUAUGCACGUCUUGACGGUACCUAAUCAGAAAGCCACGGCUAACUACGUG
rnacentral:rRNA from 1 species